rnacentral:rRNA from 1 species
UGAUCCUGGCUCAGGACGAACGCUGGCGGCGUGCCUAAUACAUGCAAGUCGAGCGGACAGAUGGGAGCUUGCUCCCUGAUGUUAGCGGCGGACGGGUGAGUAACACGUGGGUAACCUGCCUGUAAGACUGGGAUAACUCCGGGAAACCGGGGCUAAUACCGGAUGGUUGUCUGAACCGCAUGGUUCAGACAUAAAAGGUGGCUUCGGCUACCACUUACAGAUGGACCCGCGGCGCAUUAGCUAGUUGGUGAGGUAACGGCUCACCAAGGCGACGAUGCGUAGCCGACCUGAGAGGGUGAUCGGCCACACUGGGACUGAGACACGGCCCAGACUCCUACGGGAGGCAGCAGUAGGGAAUCUUCCGCAAUGGACGAAAGUCUGACGGAGCAACGCCGCGUGAGUGAUGAAGGUUUUCGGAUCGUAAAGCUCUGUUGUUAGGGAAGAACAAGUGCCGUUCAAAUAGGGCGGCACCUUGACGGUACCUAACCAGAAAGCCACGGCUAACUACGUGCCAGCAGCCGCGGUAAUACGUAGGUGGCAAGCGUUGUCCGGAAUUAUUGGGCGUAAAGGGCUCGCAGGCGGUUUCUUAAGUCUGAUGUGAAAGCCCCCGGCUCAACCGGGGAGGGUCAUUGGAAACUGGGGAACUUGAGUGCAGAAGAGGAGAGUGGAAUUCCACGUGUAGCGGUGAAAUGCGUAGAGAUGUGGAGGAACACCAGUGGCGAAGGCGACUCUCUGGUCUGUAACUGACGCUGAGGAGCGAAAGCGUGGGGAGCGAACAGGAUUAGAUACCCUGGUAGUCCACGCCGUAAACGAUGAGUGCUAAGUGUUAGGGGGUUUCCGCCCCUUAGUGCUGCAGCUAACGCAUUAAGCACUCCGCCUGGGGAGUACGGUCGCAAGACUGAAACUCAAAGGAAUUGACGGGGGCCCGCACAAGCGGUGGAGCAUGUGGUUUAAUUCGAAGCAACGCGAAGAACCUUACCAGGUCUUGACAUCCUCUGACAAUCCUAGAGAUAGGACGUCCCCUUCGGGGGCAGAGUGACAGGUGGUGCAUGGUUGUCGUCAGCUCGUGUCGUGAGAUGUUGGGUUAAGUCCCGCAACGAGCGCAACCCUUGAUCUUAGUUGCCAGCAUUCAGUUGGGCACUCUAAGGUGACUGCCGGUGACAAACCGGAGGAAGGUGGGGAUGACGUCAAAUCAUCAUGCCCCUUAUGACCUGGGCUACACACGUGCUACAAUGGACAGAACA